rnacentral:rRNA from 1 species
CGCACGGGUGAGUAACGCGUAAGUAAUCUACCCUCGCAUCUGGGAUAACCCACCGAAAGGUGUGCUAAUACCGGAUACGUCUAAGUUAAUAUCUUUUUUUUAGAGAAAGGUGGCCUCUGAUUCAAGCUACUGUGCGGGGAGGAGCUUGCGUACCAUUAGCUAGUUGGUAGGGUAACGGCCUACCAAGGCGACGAUGGUUAGCGGGUCUGAGGGGAUGAUCCGCCACACUGGAACUGAAACACGGACCAG